CCCCCUUGUUAAUGACGGUAUCACGCCCCUUAUAUAGGGCUCGGAAACCGACCUAAGAAAAUUACAGAAAUGCCCCGUGACGGUUGGGGAAUAUCCCAGCAUAUUCUCAUAUUACAGUCUACUCACCCUAAGCCAUUUGUGUAAUUUCACACUACGAACCCUGCGUGUGUCCCCUGUCUAGGGCUUCAGCUGGUCGGAGGCUUGGAUCCUCCGCUCGGCCGCCGAUCCUUCGACGCUUCCGCGUCGGAGGUUCCUCAGCUUGGACGCGUCGGAGGUUCCUCAGCCCGGACGCGUCGGAGGUUUCUCUCCUCGGUCAACUGAAGGCUCCUCAGCUCGCUCGACCGCCGACCUUCGACGCUUCCGCGUCGGAGGCUCCUUAGCUUGGACGCCUCGGAGGUUCCCAUCCUCCGCCGUGUCCUUCGCCAUCCUCGGACUUGGGAGGAUCGGAGGCUCCUCCUUUCUCCGCUUGCGGGACUCCAUCAGUGCCUCAAUCCCUGCACACACUUAGCAUGAUAAGACGAGUCGUCAACGUUAGUCUUUCUCAGAAACCUUCGCACGUAUUCGCACGAAGGUUCCCUGGGUGAAGGAUAUCCUUCGACGCCACCUGGGGGAAGGAUGUGGCCAUUCCCCAACAGAGGGGCGGUGCACUGGCGGGCCGCGAGUGGGGAGAGGGGAUUUGGGCCAUCAGGCCAGGAAGAGGGAGAGGAGGGGUUUUGUCUUUUUAUUUUUUCUAUUUCUAUUUCUUUUAUUCCAAAGCCAUUUUCAAAACCGUUUUAAAAAUCACUUUGAAUUAUGUUUGAAAUAUUUUUUUUAUCUUUGGUCAAAUCACUCAUCACAAUAAAAAUGAAUUUUGCAGCAUGAAUGCUCAACCAUAUUUCUAAUCCUAUGAUAAAUUUUAAUUUACUGAAAAAAAUAUUAUUUCUCUAUAUUCCAUGAAUACAAAAAUGCAAAAUUAAAUCGUUUCACCUAUUUCAAAAAUUAUAAAUUUUAGGGUGUUACACGACAACCGAUCAUGCAAAUAGAGACUAUUCUAAUAUCAUAAACAUUCUCAGAAUAUUAUCAAACUGUCAGGAUGGUUUAUUAGAACAUCCUCAUAAAAAACAAAACACUGGAUGCAGAGCAAUGUAAUUGUAUGAAAGAAAAAUAUAGAUUAUUUUUGUUAUUUAUUUAUUUCCUCUAAAAUUCAAAGCAAUACCUGAUCCAAUUCAUAACCUCUCUUUGCUUCUCCGACUAGUCCAUCAUUGAAUUGUCUUGUUCUGUAUGAGAAACACUAAUAGCAAGUCUACCUCUACUCUCCUUCUCGGCAGAGGAUAAUAGACCGAAUUUGAACCACAAAUCCUGCAAAAUAUCCUAAGUUUAUUUUUGUUGACAAAUGUUAUAUAGUUCAUAUGAAUAAUCCUUACAUUAAUUUAAAUGCCCAGUUUCGUUAAUGCAUAUAGUGAACCAUUUUUCUUAAAAUUUUGUAGAAAAAAUACACUAUGCCCUAAAAAACUGAUGAGACAAUUUACAGAAAAACAACUAAUCUCUUUUCUAGUGAAAAAGUACACUGCGACCUAAACAAACGUGCACUGUCAAAAUUGUAACAAUGUAUGUGACAAAUAUGAUAAAGCCACCUAACCUUAAUUUCCAGAAAUUGACAGAAUCUUCUUUGUUUUCAGAAUCCAAAAAAAACAACAAACUCCUUUGCAAUAGAUACAAGAUCGUAAAGACAAAUGUAUGUCCUCUGUAGUGGAUAGAACCAUAGAAAUUAGUCCUGCAUCAGCAGGUGCCAUAUCAAAAUUUUCAAACUGUUAGAUCUCUGAUGGUUGCUGCUUCACCUAUAUAUUUGCACAUGUGAAUUCAAGCCUCUAAAGAAUGGGAUUAGUUAUUCAGAUGAAAUGGGACUACAUUAGGUGAAGUAACAGCAAGAUGUAGUGGCACGAUGUAUGCUCUAGGGUAGUAGCAAGAAAAAUAGAGAACAAAAAAGUUCUACAUGUCCUCCUAGGAUCCAUCACAAAUACCAACCGAUGGACACCGGUAGGAGCUGAGAUUGAACCAAACUGUCAGGAGUUAUCCAAGUUCAGAACCUAACACUAACCUUCUCUUCCUCUGAGUGGCAUGAGGUGACGUCGGCGCAACUAGUGUUGUCUUCAAAUAUGAGCAGCUGGAGUUAGGACCAUCAAAAGUAGGCAGGAGGGAGAACAAACAUGAAUUGUCAGGUCAUGAACAGUAGGGUAAUCAGUGGCACCUGGAAUGGGUGGUGAGCAAGCACCAUGAGCGUUGAUGCCUGAUCGCUACGCUAGGCACAUCCUCACCGACGAUGUAGGGACUUCGGCUCUUUGCUGAUGUCAUCAAUGAAGCCCAGAAAUGACUCUAACCAAGAAGUUGAGGAGCUAGGCACGUCCUGAUGUUGUCAACAAAGUCCAUCGGCUGCUCCCACCUGCCUUUAAUCAUCUAUUGGUUAAUAGAUUGUGGCUGGGACCAGACUACCAACAAUCAACUUAGAACAUUAAAAGUUCAGAACUAAGAUAUCUGAAUCCUAUAAAUUUUUAAAGUAAGAAAUGUCUCAGGUGCACUCUUAGUUUAAAUACAUGUGUACAUAUAAAUCAGCUAGGUUAAUCCACUUCAAAUCCAUCCAUCUACAAUCAGUGGCACAUGUACGCUUGAUAAUCUUUGGAAGGGAUCAAAGUUAGUAGUCAUAAUACAUGUAUACACUUGUAUUUGGAUAAGAUCUCUCAAUACAAAUAGCCAAAUGCUCGGUUUAACAUAUCAUAAAGGCAAGGGAGAAGGAUGAGGAGCACAAGGGCUAGGAACAUUCACAACAAAACAUAUCAAAUCACAUAGAGGCGCAAGCGCAGAUCCACUGAAGUUUGAAGGGCAUUUGAGUGUGCACAUGUACGAUUGAUAAUCUUUAAAAGGGAUCAAAGUUGUGUGCAUAAUACUGGAAAUCAAAGACUAUAGAAAAUCAGAGUGGGGUAUAUUUGAAAGGGAUAAUAUAUACACUUUGUAACAGAUCUGAAUACAAAUGACUUUGGUUGCUCGGUUUUGCAAAGCAGAAAGGAAGAGAAGGGUGGCAUACCUGUGAUGAUGGCGUAGAAAAUUGUGUGUGGUGGCGGCACCUUCUCCUUUUCAAUGCUCCAUCCUAGGAGCAGCAAAUGACGGCGUAGAUCAGAGACGAGCGAGGUGGUGACACAGGUUGAAGGAUGGCCUUACGGUGGUGGCUUGUUCCUAUGGUGGAGGCGCGGCAGAGCGGAACAAGGCACGGCGACGGCGGUGGCCAUGAGGUGGAAGUGGAGGAGGAGG
rnacentral:lncRNA from 1 species